rnacentral:rRNA from 1 species
GACGAACGCUGGCGGCGUGCUUAACACAUGCAAGUCGAACGGAAAGGCCCUGCUUUUGUGGGGUGCUCGAGUGGCGAACGGGUGAGUAACACGUGAGUAACCUGCCCUUGACUUUGGGAUAACUUCAGGAAACUGGGGCUAAUACCGGAUAGGAGCUCCUGCUGCAUGGUGGGGGUUGGAAAGUUUCGGCGGUUGGGGAUGGACUCGCGGCUUAUCAGCUUGUUGGUGGGGUAGUGGCUUACCAAGGCUUUGACGGGUAGCCGGCCUGAGCGGGUGACCGGCCACAUUGGGACUGAGAUACGGCCCAGACUCCUACGGGAGGCAGCAGUGGGGAAUAUUGCACAAUGGGCGGAAGCCUGAUGCAGCACCGCCGCGUGCGGGAUGACGGCCUUCGGGUUGUAAACCGCUUUCGCCUGUGACGAAGCGUGAGUGACGGUAAUGGGUAAAGAAGCACCGGCUAACUACGUG